AUCCCUAUAGCGCUACGGAGAGCGCGUUGGACUUCUAAUCCAAAGGUCGUGGAUGGGAAUCCUACCUGGGAUG